GAUGCCUCUGUUUCUCAGCUCUACUUAUUUAUUAAACCUUUAUUUUACAUUGCAGCUUAGCUGAUUGACAAUGUUGUGAUGGUUUCAGGUGGACAGCGAAGGCAUGUGGGAUCCCAUCUCCCCAACCAGGGAUCGAACUGGCACCCCCUGCAUUGGAAGAUUAAGUGUUAACCACUGGACGGACAGGGAAGUCCCUUUGUAGUGAGAUGUUAACCCCUCAGAACGUGUCCCUGACAAAAACGUCACAUUCACCAUAAAAAGCCCGUGGCCUUGGCCUCUGCCAGGCUCUCCUGUCAAUCAUGGGCUGCCUUUCAGAAGUAAGGACUUGAUGAGGUGGCCACUGAAUUGUUCAUCAGAACUUCCUGAUGAAGAAAGAAGGAAGAUCAUGAGCUCAGAUGCCCCGGGGCCUCAGCCAGUCUUCCAGAGCCAGGACCAACCUGGAAACCUGAUUAUCAGCAUCAGGCCCAGAGGGGAGGAGAUGUGGGAAGGAAGGGUGGGGAAAGUCAAUACCUGGGCCUUCUGGAGGGCCUCACUUGCUGAUAGAAUCAUCUACACCCUUUUUCUAGAUUGCACAAGCACCAGAGGAUUGAUGCUUUCCAACUGCGGUGCUGGAGAAGACUCGAGAGUCCCUUGGACUGCAAGGAAAUCAAACCAGUCAAUCCUAAAGGACAUCAGUCCUGAAUAUUCAUUGGAAGGAAGCUCCAACACUUUGGCCACCUGAUGCAAAGAACUGACUCAUUGGAAAACACCCUGAUGCUGGGAAAGAUUGAGGGCAGGAGGAGAAGGGGACAAUAGAGGCUGAGAUGGUUGGAUGGCAUCACCGAUGCAGUGGACAUGAGUUUGAGCAAGCUCCAAAGGAUAGUGGAAGACAGGGGAGCCUGGCAUGCUGCAGUCCACGGGGUCACAAAAAGUCAGACACGACUUAGCAAUUGAACAACAAUACAAUGUUUGAUUUUCUCUUUCUGACUUACUUCACUCUGUAUGACAGUCUCUAGGUGCACCCAAGUCUCAGCAAAUGGCACAAUUUCACUCCUUUAUUUGAAAUCAAGUUGGUUUUUUUUUUUUUUUUUUAAGGGAGAAAAACAGUGAAAGCAUUGAAAAACUAAGUCACUUGUCCUGAAAACCCAGAAGGAUGAUGGGGCUGCUUGAGGGGCCUGGUUUACCAGACACACCAACCGCAGAGGCAGGAGGGAUGGGAGCUGGACAGCUUCCCUGACAACGCAGGCUCUGGAGCCACGCUCAUCUUUAAUGCACGGCUGUGCUGUGUGCUCCUGACAUCUCAAGCGGGGAUGCGGGAGUCUGGGAUGCUCUCCCAGCCACUCUUGGCUCCCUGUGAGCAAUACCCUUCACAUCUCAUUAGACCUGCCUGCGUCCAUCUGGACCCUGUCAAUCUUGAUCCCGAGCAGGUGGGAGGGAGUAGGUGAGUGGAGGGAGGUGUAUGAGGCUCUGGAAAGAAGCAGGGCUGCCUGAGCCCCAAGACCAAAGUGGGUAAGAGUUUGGGCUUAAAUGAAAUGAAAUUGGAUCUGAGCUCCUCUACUAACUGUGUCAUUUUUGGCAAGUUAUUCAACCUCUCUGUAUCCCAGUUUCCUUAUUCAUAAAAUAGGGGCCACUAAAACUUACUGCACAAUUGGCUUUUAGGGGACUUGCCUAGGGGUCCAGUGGUUAAGACUCGCUUUCACUACAGGGGCGCAGGUUCAAACCCUGGUGGGGGGAACUAUGAUCC
ensembl:lncRNA